AGAUUGAACGCUGGCGGCAGGCCUAACACAUGCAAGUCGAGCGGCAGCACGGGAAGCUUGCUUCCUGGUGGCGAGCGGCGGACGGGUGAGUAAUGCAUAGGAAUCUGCCCGGUAGUGGGGGAUAACCUGGGGAAACCCAGGCUAAUACCGCAUACGUCCUACGGGAGAAAGCAGGGA
rnacentral:rRNA from 1 species